AAACCAACAGGGAUUGCCUCAGUAACGGCGAGCGAAGCGGCAAAAGCUCAAAUUUGAAAUCUGGCGCUUUCAGCGUCCGAGUUGUAAUUUGAAGAAGUAACUUUGGAGUUGGCCUUUGCACAUGUUCCUUGGAACAGGACAUCAUAGAGGGUGAGAAUCCCGUACAUGGUGAGGUGCCCAACUCUUUGUAAAGUACUUUCCAAGAGUCGAGUUGUUUGGGAAUGCAGCUCUAAGUGGGUGGUAAAUUCCAUCUAAGGCUAAAUAUUGGCGAGAGACCGAUAGCGAACAAGUACAGUGAUGGAAAGAUGAAAAGAACUUUGAAAAGAGAGUGAAAUAGUACGUGAAAUUGUUGAAAGGGAAGGGCUUGAAAUCAGACUUGGCUUGUAGUGAUCAACUGUCUCUUGGGACUGUGCACUCGCUGCUUGCUAGGCCAACAUCGGUUUUGGCGGUAAGAUAAUGGCAGAUGAAUGUGGCUCAUUCGUGAGUGUUAUAGCUUCUGUCGAUAUUGCCAGCUGGGACCGAGGACUGCGCUUUAUGCUAGGAUGUUGGCGUAAUGAUUUUAAGCCAC
rnacentral:rRNA from 1 species